rnacentral:sRNA from 1 species
UCUUCUCUCUUUUCUGGAGUUAGAUUAGUCUGAAGCCGCCACCAGCCCCAGGCCCCCGUGCAGAAGAAAAGCGGGAGGGAACGGCAGAGGCCGCCGCUGCCCUGCACCGCCCUCCUGGAGGCCACUUGGAGAGUCCGGCCCCGAGGAGGCCAUGGCCACAAGUGCCCACAGCUGGCCCCAGGGAGCAGUCCUGCCCCUCCCCGAGCCGCCAGUCUCCUGUCGUCACUGAUGUUGGAGGAGGUCCCACUGGGGGUCUGGAUGUGACCCAUCCUUGGCCUGGGGGCAGUGGUCUCAGAAGAUGGCCUGGCCCAUCCUCUGCUCACCACCCACCCUGUGCAGCCCUGAUCGCAGAGAACUUCCGCUUCCUGUCACUUUUCUUCAAGAGCAAGGAUGUGAUGAUUUUCAACGGCCUGGUGGCACUGGGCACGGUGGGCAGCCAGGAGCUGUUCUCUGUGGUGGCCUUCCACUGCCCCUGCUCGCCGGCCCGGAACUACCUGUACGGGCUGGCAGCCAUCGGCGUGCCCGCCCUGGUGCUCUUCAUCAUUGGCAUCAUCCUCAACAACCACACCUGGAAC